rnacentral:rRNA from 1 species
AUUGAACGCUGGCGGAAUGCUUUACACAUGCAAGUCGAACGGCAGCACGGACUUCGGUCUGGUGGCGAGUGGCGAACGGGUGAGUAAUGUAUCGGAACGUGCCCAGUCGUGGGGGAUAACGUAGUGAAAAUUACGCUAAUACCGCAUACGAUCUAUGGAUGAAAGCGGGGGAUCGCAAGACCUCGCGCGAUUGGAGCGGCCGAUAUCAGAUUAGGUAGUUGGUGGGGUAAAGGCCCACCAAGCCAACGAUCUGUAGCUGGUCUGAGAGGACGACCAGCCACACUGGAACUGAGACACGGUCCAGACUCCUACGGGAGGCAGCAGUGGGGAAUUUUGGACAAUGGGCGCGAGCCUGAUCCAGCCAUUCCGCGUGCAGGAUGAAGGCCCUCGGGUUGUAAACUGCCUUUGUACAGAACGAAAAGGUUUCUACUAAUACUGGGAGCUCAUGACGGUACUGUAAGAAUAAGCACCGGCUAACUACGUGCCAGCCGCCGCCGUAA